rnacentral:rRNA from 1 species
GUGUCAGCCGCCGCGGUAAUACGAAGGGGGCUAGCGUUGUUCGGAAUUACUGGGCGUAAAGCGCGCGUAGGCGGACAUCUAAGUCAGGGGUGAAAUCCCAGGGCUCAACCCUGGAACUGCCUUUGAUACUGGACGUCUGGAGUUCGGGAGAGGUGAGUGGAAUUCCGAGUGUAGAGGUGAAAUUCGUAGAUAUUCGGAGGAACACCAGAAGCGAAGGCGGCUCACUGGCCCGAUACUGACGCUGAGGCGCGAAAGCGUGGGGAGCAAACAGGAUUAGAAACCCUAGUAGUCC